rnacentral:tRNA from 2 species
AUUUAUAUAGUUUAAAUAAAACAUUACAUUUUCAAUGUAAAAAUAAAAUAUUAUUUUUAUAAAUA